CUGCUAUUCCUGUCUUCUAUGGAAGUCCCUUCCUGUCACUAUGGUCUAGCUGAUCUCUGAUAAGUAUUGCCAGGGUAUGGAAAGGCUUUUCUCCAGAACGGUUCAUUUAUAGCGUAUUAAUUCUGAAAAUUGUCAGAGCUCACAGGCUCGUUGUGGGUGGAAUUUCUCAAUCGUAAUUACGAUUAUCCAGAGCCAUGGGUUUUUAAAUCCCAAAUUAUAUGUGAUAUGUAUUAUUAAUCCUUUGGACUCUUUUGCAUGGGUUUUUUUUUGGGGGGGGGAAGGACUAAAAUAAAAGCAGUGAGGCACUUAUGGGUGUUUGAUUCUGUCAGUAUUGUGAUUCUGUACAGAGUUUUUUAACUAUGACCUUUGCAAAACUUUUUAAAGAGUAUCUUAACAUGCCUAUUACUUGGUUGCCACUGAUAUAAAAGAGAUAUAUUUGUGUUUGGUUUCUAUGGAAACACAAAUGGUAGAGAGUAAUUUUUACAAUAUAGAAGUUAGGGCUUCUUUUAUUGGGGAAAAAUGACCUUGUCCAAACCGUUCAAUCUUAUUUGAAUCUUUAUGCACUUUAGGCAUAGAGAUACCAGUGCCAAUAUCCCUGGUAGACUGAGGCAUGUGUAACACUUGACUGCAUUUAGUCUACACUAUUAUUUCUUCUUUUAUGUUUGCUUCUAGAUUUUUUCUCAAAACCAUCAUUAAAUACUUCAAUUGUUCUUUAUUUAAGAUGAAAGUAAAGUUGAAAAUUAAUUUGCUCCCGUGAGGAAAUAUGUACUUUAUGAAUUAAAAUUGUUUUCCUUUUUUGAACAAGUAAAAAUAAAAUGUGUCCAACAAAAAGCAUUUUCAGGCUUCCUGGAUACCUUAAUUGUCAAUGAUGCACUGGUCAAUGUGUGGGAACACUAUUCCACUGUGCUACUCAUAACUACAUGAAAGUGAAGUUAGCACGGAAAAGGAAUUUGUUAGCAAAGACAUUGUAUUGCUUUUGAUGUUACAGUCACACAUGAAACCAGUCUGCUGAAACAUGCUUAUGUCCAAUAAUAAAGAUGAGAACGUUGUUUUAAUAGUCGU
rnacentral:lncRNA from 1 species